UGGAGCUUGAUGAGAAUGGUUACAGCAGAAGGCAGUCCUAUGUUUCUCCACAUCUCAUUUAGUAUAUGAUCUCCCAUAGUCAUAAUGAUUUUGUUUUACCUUAAUGUUUUGGCACUUCUAACAGAGAGUGUUUUUGCGAAUGCAAUAACACCCCUCUUUACUGAAAAGCAUGCUUUUGAAGGAGAAAAGGCGACUCUUUCAUGCAACUACAGUGGAAGUAACAUACAGGUUUUACAGUGGUACAGACAGUAUCCCAACACUGCCCCCGAAUUUCUCUUGCAAGCUUUUGAAAGUUUGGGUCCAGAGCAGAAGGACCGUCAUGUUGCUAAAGCUCAAAAGGACAAAAAACAUCUGAACCUGGAGAUCUCCGAAACCAAAGUGGCAGAUGCUGCAAUAUACUACUGUGCACUGGUGCCCACAGUAACAGGAAACCCUUCAACACUGUACUAAAACCUGAGAUGAGGAGGAAAGAAAGAAAGAAAGAAAGAAAGAAAGAAAGAAA